UUUCUUCAAUUCGUGAAUGCAAGCAUCAUAGAAAUGUCGUCUUCAGAUUAAGACUCGGUCAGAAAUAGUAAUUUCCUCAUUUCAUAUUCUCACAAAUAUUUUUAUUCAAGUCAUGCGUCUCCUCGAUCAUUUAUCUCAGGUACCGGAUCGUCUUCAAUUCAAAUAUUUCCAUAUACCCCACACUCAACACUCAAUGUAAUGCGAGAAUAAUCACCUUCUCCAUCUUCUCUUACACCUCCUACUCCACAUGUGACACCCCACAUUGCUGCUGUUGAAAUGGAAGACGAUCAAUAGUUGUCUUGAUUAGAUCCACCUAAGCAGCACCACAACAGAUCCACCCAAACAACUUUAUUAUAUUUGUUUGCAGCUGGCAUGUAGCCUGAUUUUUGGAGCGUCUGCACUGUAGUUGGAAGCGUGUAUCAUCUAACAAAAAGCCAACGAAUCACAAAGUAAAAAAUUGAAUUCUAGAAGAAAUAUAACUGGGAAACUGAUUGAAAAAUAAAGACUAUUCUAGUUACAUUGCUUUGUGUAUGGCAAGCUCAAGCUAUUUGAUCUCUCACUGAUUGGACCAAAAGAGCCUCUGUCGAUCACUACCAUAUGAAAUGCAAAAAAACUUAUUAAACCAUCUGAUCCAUGACUGAUUGAUUGACUAUAUGAUUCAAAAUUAAAAAUACUGGAAGCACUAUGACCCUGCAGCCUAGCAGGAUGAACAUCAUAAAGUAAUUUUGAACCCCAUAGAAGGCAUGCAGAGCUAGUCACCGAGCAUCCAUCAUCUCCAAGGUUUUGACGUAAAUGUCCAAAAGUUACACCCUCCGGUACUGUAUGUUGCUUCAAGAAGUUGAGAUUGUACCUCCAGAUGAAAUGAGCAUAUACUGAAAUACUAAUAUAUUGUAAGUUUAUAACCCACAGAUUAACAUUAGAAAAUUGUAGCCUAUUGCAUCACAAAUCAUGAUAUUGGUAUAUACAUUUGUAUAAGGAAAAAGGAAAAUGAACUGCCAUAUUUAUGCAGAAGGAAAAUAAUCAUGCUCGCAUAAAAAGAGAUGUAAUUGCAUAAAUAAGACACCUAUUGUAGCAUAACUAACUGUUAAGUUUGGAUAUGAUAGAGAAUAAAAUUGCCAAAUAUGGGAGAGGGAGGACGACCGCAAUAAUGAGAUGAGGGCGAUGGUCGAUUGUGGGGUCAAUCUGGUGAGGGUUCGAUACUGCCAGCGGUAAGCCCAUGAGGCAGCUGUGGUGAUCGUGGAGCCCAUCGGGCCCAUGCGCAGCUGCAGGAUUUGGAGAGCGAGUGGCCGGCUGGCCGCUACGACACUACCAGAGCACUUCGUGGUCAAUACUAAAGCAACCUCUUCCUCUUGCCCAAGCAUACUACCUCCUAACCUCAUCCUCCCAAAUCAUUUUUCCACGAAAUUUUACAAGGGCACAGAUGAUUCGGAUAUUUAUAUGUAUAGUGUUUCUAAAACUGUUUGACAUUUGGAAAAUUAUUAUUCCACGCGGGUGCACCUAUGAAUUACUCCUAUGCAACUUGCUAGUUUUCUUCACCAUCCAAUUACAUUAAAACUGAAUCCGGUCAGAAAAAAAAAACAAGCUCAGUAAACUGAAUGCAGUGUGCAUCAACAUAAUAACUCAUUAAUAUAUAGCUCUGUGACCGGCAGAAACAUUGGCUUUCAAUAAUGAAAAUAGAGUAUGUUUAACAGUCAUUUACAUGUUUAUUUCGUUGUAGUGGCAACCCAAUGGGAGAACUUUGCAUACUUAGACAUUCAACUCACACUUUUUAACCAAAGUACAUUUAAUUCACUGAAUAAAAAGGAAAUAAUUGACGAAACAAAUGCAGUGGUUAGUUACCUGAAGUAUACUACGCAUACCUAAAUGUGUUUCUCAACAGAUUGUGUCACACAUUUAGUAGUGAAAAAUAUAGAUUGCAAUGCACCCCUCUUUUUGUCCUCCAUGACAACUUGAUCUGCAUGAAAGCAGCCAAAUUCAGAACAAACAAAGGAUACAUAAAAAGACAUAUACAAUAUCUGGAACAAGGCACCGUGCUACAACAAAGAUGAACAAGUCCCCGUCUGCCAAACAACAAUAAAUCCUUUGGUCAAAUUUGUAUUAAUUACAUCCACGAUGUGACGUUGUCUCCUGCUAUUGAUCCUAGUCACAGGCCUGCACUCAGUCCUAGCCUCCUUCAUGCUGUGGUUAAGAGAGGAAAAACAAGUGAGAGAAAGAGGGUAUGGGAGAGAUGGGGUUAUGUCCUAAAUCAAUCAAUAUCUAUGUGUAAGUGUUAAUUUACCCUCCCAUAGUUCAGAAUCAGGGCUCGUAUCUGUUUGAUUUUAGGUAGAUUACAUUUUAAAAUGGAGUGAUUUGAUCCAAAUCUUUUUACACCGGCCGAGCUAUCAUCUUGGAACAGAAGUAAUUUUUCUUCCAUCCUGAGGUUUGACAAGAC
rnacentral:lncRNA from 1 species